CCAAUAGCGUAUAUUAAAGUUGUUGCAGUUAAAAAGCUCGUAGUUGAAUUUCGGGAUCAGAUUGUCGGUCGUGCCUCGGUACGCACUGGCAUUAUUUGGUUCCUACCUUCUGAAGAACCGCGAUGUCAUUAAUUUGGUGUCGUGGGGAAUCAGGACUGUUACUUUGAAAAAAUUAGAGUGUUUAAAGCAGGCGCACGCUUGAAUACAUUAGCAUGGAAUAAUGAAAUAGGACGUUUGAUUCUAUUUUGUUGGUUUCUAGGAUCGACGUAAUGAUUAAUAGGGAUAGUUGGGGGCAUUAGUAUUCAAUUGUCAGAGGUGAAAUUCUUGGAUUUAUUGAAGACUAACUACUGCGAAAGCAUUUGCCAAGGAUGUUUUCAUUAAUCAAGAACGAAAGUUGGGGGAUCGAAGACGAUCAGAUACCGUCGUAGUCUUAACCAUAAACUAUGCCGACUAGGGAUCGGAUGAUGUUAAUUUUUUAAUGACUCAUUCGGCGCCUUACG
rnacentral:rRNA from 1 species